GUUUGACAGGCAUCGAGGGACUGAGCAGAUCGAUCAUUUUGGCAAUAUUGUAUGGAGUUGAGCAGCUAUAGUUUUUCUUUUUUGUAUGAUUUUCCCAGCAGUUUAAUCUUAUGUUGUUAUUCAUAUAAACUAGCAUUAAACCAUGACUUCCAUGUAAGAAACAUAGGAUAUGUUAGUUGAUGGUAGGAUUUGCCAUUAAAAAAAAAGUGAUGGUAAGAUUUUUCUUUCCGGGUAUUAGGAAUAUUUUAAUUUUAUACUUAGUACUGAAAUUUAAACAAAAAAGACAUGUGACUCACAUAACAAUUUGAACUUCAUGAGCCGAACCGAGUUGUUCGUGAACUUAAAAUGAGUCGAGUUUGUACUAAAAAAAUGGUUCGUAAUAAACGUGAGUCAAAUUUCGAGCUUAUCCAAUUCUUAACGAGUCGAGUUGAUGUGAGUUCGACUCGACUCAUUUCCAGUCUACAUUUGUUCGGAAGUUGAUAAAGGUUGAAAAAGGUUUCUAAUGUAGAAGUGUAUAGACUUUAAAAUUUAAUCAAUGAUUCAGUUUGUUUGAAUGGACGGGGAUCCAUAUAAACCCCUCUCUCUCUCCAUUAUGAACACCAGAACACCAUGUACAAUCUUUU
rnacentral:lncRNA from 1 species